CACGUAGUUAGCCGUGACUUCCUCGCCGGGUACCAUCACUCAGAAAGCUUCCCACUCUUUCUGCCUUUUGUCCCCGGCAACAGAGCUUUACGAUCCGAAGACCUUCCUCGCUCACGCGGCAUUGCUCGUUCAGGGUUCCCCCCAUUGACGAAAAUUCCCUACUGCUGCCUCCCGCAGGAGUCUGGGCCGUGUCUCAGUCCCAGUGUGGCCGUCCGCCCUCUCAGGCCGGCUAUGCAUCGUCGCCUUGGUGAGCCGUUACCUCUCCAACCAGCUAAUGCACCGCAGGUCCAUCUGCAUGCGGGACUCUUGUCCCCUUUUCCAAAAAGAGAUGCCUCCUCUUUGCUCAUCCGGUAUCAGCUUCCGUUUCCAGAAGUUCUCCCGCUCAUGCAGGCAGGUUCCCUACGUGUUACUCACCCGUUCGCCUACUCAUACUCCGAAGAUAUCCGUUCGACUUGCAUGUAUUAGGCAUCGCCGCCAGCCGUUCAUCCUGACGUCCAA
rnacentral:rRNA from 1 species